rnacentral:rRNA from 1 species
GAUUGAACGCUGGCGGCAGGCCUAACACAUGCAAGUCGAGCGGAUGAGAGGAGCUUGCUCCUGGAUUCAGCGGCGGACGGGUGAGUAAUGCCUAGGAAUCUGCCUGGUAGUGGGGGACAACGUUUCGAAAGGAACGCUAAUACCGCAUACGUCCUACGGGAGAAAGCAGGGGACCUUCGGGCCUUGCGCUAUCAGAUGAGCCUAGGUCGGAUUAGCUAGUUGGUGAGGUAAUGGCUCACCAAGGCGACGAUCCGUAACUGGUCUGAGAGGAUGAUCAGUCACACUGGAACUGAGACACGGUCCAGACUCCUACGGGAGGCAGCAGUGGGGAAUAUUGGACAAUGGGCGAAAGCCUGAUCCAGCCAUGCCGCGUGUGUGAAGAAGGUCUUCGGAUUGUAAAGCACUUUAAGUUGGGAGGAAGGGCAGUAACUUAAUACNUUGCUGUUUUGACG